GCCCUUGUGCCCUUCACCCUAGGAAGAGAGAAAAAUGAAGAAAAGAAAAAGUGUCUCAAGUUCUCAUCUAUUUGUGACAACACAAAUCCAAUAUGCCAUAAACAUGUUGAAAUGUUCUGGCCUUUACAGUUUUACCAGCCUGAGAUACAUGGUAUGGGACAGGAAGCCAGGAAGAGUCUUCUGAAAGAGCAGUCACCACUGAAAUCUGAAAAGGGAGAGCAUACAUCAAAACAUGAAGACAAAAUCAAUCAAGGUCAUACACUAACUUUGUGAAAAGUUCAGCCUUUACUUACUGGCUUGCUUCAAAGUGGCCUGGAAUUUAUGUAGUUUGAAAGCCAGUCUUCUGUGGUACCUUUACUUGACCUCUGUGUUACUUUUCCUGAGAUUUUUCAAACACUUCAACAUGUUUGAGUUUUAC
rnacentral:lncRNA from 1 species